AAUUAUGUAUGAUGAGGUAGGUGUACUCUUUAAUAUAAAUAUUAAUAUAUUGCGAUUCGGUCAUUUGAAAACAAUUUAGUCGUGGUGUCACGCGCAUUGUUAAAAGUCCACCGUGAAUACAAGAGUCGCAACAAAACAAAUUUGAAUGAUACAAUUUUUUGCGUCGCGUUAUGUAAGUACAGAUACGACGUUAUUAUUUUUGUUAUAUAUUUUUAUUUUUUUUUUGAGUUGGACGGUCCAUUAAGAGUAUACCUGUCGCUCGUCGCGGCGCCACAGUUCGAGUGUUUUACAACGUUUAAUAAUAAUAAAAACUAUACUUUACGAAAACAUUCCAUUUCGGUAUACGUGUGUAUUAUAAUAUAUACAGUUAUCGAUUAUCGGGUAAAAUGGCGCUUCAACAGCAUAAUAACAUACAAUACACCGGACUCAACCAUUAUAAUAAUGCCAGAUGCCAGUUCCCACUCUAUUAUUACUAUUGCGUUACUAUGGUUACUGUUAAGUACAGGUACAGAAAUGUUUGUCAUUGAAUAACGAUCGCGUGCUAUAUCGCCGCGGCUUUGGUCUGACGAUAGUAUAGUCAAAUAGUCGAGUAAAAUAAUAAUAUGCGUGCGUACAACUGACAUAGCCGCGUUAGAGGCGAGGGGAAAUGUGGGCGUUUGCUCCGGGGACGCCGAACUUUUUCCUGACUACGGGAAGCCCGGCUCAAUAUAUGAAACUUAAAAUAAUAAUAAAAAAAAAACUCGCAAUUUCAUUUUUUAAUAUUAUUAUAAUUAUAAGUGGGUGGGUAUACCUGUACCGGUAGGGAAAAAUUCAGCGGUAAGGAAGAAUCAUAUUUGGCGGAAGUAAUACGUAGGAAAUAAAAAUACGUGUUCAAUAAAAUUGUAAAAAAAAAACACAACAAAUCUGUGAGGGGAGAGGUACGAACGUUCCAAAUCAUCCGCGGGUGAGACAUUGAGAGGGGGCGAUGGAAAAUCGAUGCCACCGGGCGCCGCGCCGAACGGCUCUGCGUAACGCUUUUACACAUUUUCAGGACCACUUGUUGAAAACAUUGUCGGGAGCCGAUUCAACGGCCGGUAGAGUGCUUUACCCGGUAUCGGGAGCCAAUUCAACGGUCGCCGUACACGCAUAUUGUAAAUAAAUACGUGUAUUACAUUAGGGGGCCGAUACUGGGUACGCAUUUAACGACGACGGUGAUAAUAAUAGUAAUAACAAGCAAUACAGGUACCGUCGGUUUUUGAAAUUGAAUUAUUUUCGUUGCGCCCGUGCGGCGAGCAAUUUUUCCCACGUUACCGGCACGACGUGACGGUGUCGCACAACGCAACGGCGUUUGUUUUCGACAAAUAGUCCGACAUGGGUCCGCACUGGGGUUGCGGCGAGCCGAAACGAUUCGCACGUUGGACCGUCUUCGGCAUUUAUAUUAUCGUUCCGUGUUAAUGACAUUGUUCCCUUCUCGAUUUAUACGCCCCCCCCCUCCUCUCUUGUGUUUUUAAACGAAACCAAACAGCGUAUUCGUAGUAUGGAAGGCAGCAAAAAAAAAAAAACUAUAAAACGGCGGAUUUUCGUUGUUUCGCACGCGUUUCCCUUGUGAAGGCGCCGGGCGCUAAUCCUGCCCGAAAAACGCGCGCAAACAAAACGCUGCGCAAUAAUAACGAUUGCGCGUAUCGUUAACAGACAUUACCAACAAUACGGAACCACAAAUGUGUUCAAUAGAAAACUUUUACAAUGAAAAGAAAAAAAAAAAAAAUGACAAUUUCCUAUGCAGAUUGUAUUAUAGGUAUUGUUAUUAUCACGGCGAGCAUACGGCCGUCUGUAACUAUUGCAGUAACAAUGAUAAUAUUUAUAGACGUCGCAUAAUGCCAGAAGAAGAAUACUCCACAUAGUAUUAUUGUUAUGUAUAACUAAUAAUUAUUAUUAUACAACCUGUAUGAAUUAUAAAAACAAAAUAUAACCUUCAAACGAUUCUUUCUACUGUUAAAGUGCAUACAUACUAAAAUAAUAUUCUUCAAUUCUUGAUGUUGCAAAAACGUGUGUGUAGGUUUACCUGUUUAUGCGGCGUACAUGACCACUUUUUUUUUUUUUAUAAUGUAAGUAAUAACCUACCUACCUAUAUAAUGUCUAUAUACAUAUUAUAAUGAGCGAAUGUAAGUUCCUUGUUCCUACAUCACCAAAACAAGUUAGGUUAGAUUAUAUAUUAAACGGAUACUUGUAAAUACACGUUUAACCAAAGUAUUAAAAAAAAAAAAAAUGCAUUAUGGAACAAAAGUUUAAGGUAAAUUACCCAAUGUGCAUGCAGUAUUUUGUAAACAGAUAUAAUUAUUAUCAAACCAAAAACAAGUUUUCUGUAUCAGUUUUAUCAGUAAUGGAAAUUCUCAAAUGUUUGUGUAACACAAACAGAUUUGCAUCGAUCCAAUUUUGAAGUGAACCGCUACUUUUCAUAAGUAAUCGUUUAAUUAACGGCUCAUAUUUAGUUGUAUGAGUUAUCUCUUCUUUCACCAAAAAAUAAACAGAUCGAAAAAGAUGUGAUAAAUUUGUUCUAUUAAUUUUACAUUCUUCAAAACUUUGACUUACAAUUUGAUUAUAAACAGGGUUUUUUAAAGCUACCAAAGCAAGUUUUUCUAAUUCUGCACUACGGAUAUGUGAUACAGAAUAUGUGUGUUUAUUUAAUUUACCAUCUUUUCCUAGUGCUUUUUUAUAGUUUAUGAAUGGUGUAUUAACACAAAUUCCGCCUGAUACAUAUUUUUCACAUAACAUACAAAAAGCACCGUUACGUUGUUUAUGAAAAUAAAGCCAAGGAUAAUCUAUUUCCCAUUUAGUAUUAUAGAAUCGUUUUUCUUUACCUUUUAUUGAUGAACUAGCCGAUGUAACGGCUUGAUUUACGUCUGUAGAUUCUAUAGUUUUUGGUUUUUUUAUUCGGUAAAAAGAAAUCUUCUAUUGAUCGUUUUGACAUCUUAAAAUAAAAAAUUAAUAGAUUACGAAAUGACUAAUAUAGAAAGAAAUAUAGCAUAGGUAGCUAGUAUUCAAUAAUUUUUUUACUUAAGCUAUGUUGUUAAUAAUAGUGCACUCGUGAUUUUUCAGCUGCACAGCGUUGACUAAUCGAUAGUGAACAACUGUCUAGAAUGUAGAUAAAUAAUCAAAGAGAAUAAUAAAUAAUAAUAGACGUAGACGGUCACCUAAUAAUCAUUAUCAAUAUAUGGUAUUUCCAAUCAUAUCAUAUGAUGAUAUACUUGACCGUCCAUGUAAACGUUUAUUAAACCGGUCAAAUUGUUUUAUGAUUAAAUAUUUCAAUCGAUAAAAUUUUAUUUAAAACCACAUUUAACAGGGGGGGGGGGCAACAUUUUUAGUAUACCUGGAUUCAACACAAAUUGUGUUCAAAAAUUGAAAUUAGAAUAUGUCAGCUUUAUCGGUAUUAUAUCAGCUAUAGUCAGAAUAAACCAUCAAGUAUAGCGGUUGAAACGAGCGCGAUUAUAAUAUUACUACACCUUAUCCAUACUAUUCUAUUAAUAUAUUAUUAUUAUUAUUAUUGUUAUACUAUUAUUGAAUUACUUUUUGGUUUUCAUCGGGAAUGCACACUCAGCAAACUUCAAAACAAAUACAAUUGUAAAUUUAACCUACAUUUUUUACGGAGUAGGAGCUAACACAUCUCAUUUUUGUAUUCGUGUAGGAACUAAUAUAUGUAUUUGUUUUAUCUGAUAGGUCUCGUGUACGUACUUACCUGUUUAUCCCCAUUAUAAUAAUCGUGUAGGUUUAUUUUUAUCCGUUCUUUGAUAAUCGUUGGUUCGUAAAAACACGUACACCUACCUAUCGGCAAUUAUUAAACUUCUACGACUGCUCAUUCGGAAAAUGAAAAGCGCACAUUUUAAUCGCCACCACCUGUAGUUUAGGAAACGAUUUAUUUAUCGAAAUUCCAAAAACAUUUGAAACAAAAUAUUCGCUAAGUAUUUGGUCCGCAGAAAAAAUUAGUGUGUAAUAAUAAUAUAUUAUUUAGCAGGGCAAUUAUAAUUUAAACGUUUUCUAGUAACAAAUAGUUUUCGGAUCCUAAGAAUUAUUUUUUUUUUUUUUAUUGAUUGUAAUAUUUGUUUUAUUCGUACAGUCGUAACGAUAAUUAUCAUUCGAAUCUGGAGGGGGAGGGGGUAACGAAAUUCAGCAUUUAAAAACCUAAUAAUAUUUUAUACGAGUUAAUAAUCUCCUAUUCGAUAUUUGUCCGUAAUAAAUAAAUGUUUUUUUUUUCAUGUGUGCUCAAUUGUAUUACAUCAUUUUCAAUAAUUAAAUUAAUUAUUUAAAAAAAAAAAAAAAAUAUUCUCAAAUAAAAGUACGUUAAAUCAUGUACACAUGUGCUUAUCGAAAAACCGAAUACAUUAACAUGUUCGACGCGUACGAAUUCUGGAUAGUACAAUAAUAUUGUGCAUUUUAUAAAAUCCUAUAAUUUAGUGACAAUUAACAUGGAAAUAAAUUGUACUAUUUAAUAACAAAUAAUGUUAUUGUAAUAAUUAAAAACUAAAAGUACAGUUGAUAUUAUAUUUUAUAGGUAUACCGCAUCAUAGGCAAUGGAAAAGUGGAUCUGGUCGAUCUGGAGGAAACGAGCAAAACACAAUUGGUUGAAAAAAAUCAAACGAAAAU
rnacentral:lncRNA from 1 species